GCAUAUCAAUAAGCGGAGGAAAAGAAACUAACAAGGAUUCCCCUAGUAACGGCGAGUGAAGCGGGAACAGCUCAAAUUUUAAAUCUGGCUGCUUUGUAGUCCGAGUUGUAAUUUGAAGGAGUCUUGCCGCUGGCAAAACGAUGGCACAAGUCCUCUGGAACGGGGCAUCGUAGAGGGUGAGAAUCCCGUCUCUGGUCAUCACGCGCUGGCAUACGGCAGGCAUCCGAAGAGUCGAGUUGUUUGGGAUUGCAGCUCCAAAUGGGUGGUAAACUCCAUCUAAGGCUAAAUAUUGGCGAGAGACCGAUAGCGAACAAGUACCGUGAGGGAAAGAUGAAAAGAACUUUGAAAAGAGAGUAAAACAGUACGUGAAAUUGUUGAAAGGGAAACGAUUGAAGUCAGUCAUGCCGGCGUUGGAUUCAGCUUGCUUCGCGGAGCUUGCGCAUUUCCUCGCAUGGCAGGUCAGCGUCAGUUUUGCGCGGCGUGAAAAGGCUCGGGUAAGGUAGCUCUCUUCGGGGAGUGUUAUAGACCUGGGCAAAUGCGCGGCGCGGGACUGAGGAUUGCAGCGGACACCUCUUCGGAGGCGCGGCGACCGAACCCUGCUCGGCCACCCUCGUUCGAUAGCGUGCUAACGGACGCGGGAGCGGCGGUGCACCGGAACAGGCAAGCCAGCGGUUCGCUUAGAUGCUGACGUAAUGGCUUUAAACGAC
rnacentral:rRNA from 1 species